GUUCAGAAGAGUUUGAAGACAAAUACCAGCAGAUGGAGCAGUUGGGCAAAGGAGGCUUUGGAUUUGUUUUGAUUUGACGGCCUGCAGAAACUUCCUGAAGUUUUGCUCAUUGACUGAAAUCUGGAUGAACAUGUUAGUUUGGGGUUUGAUGCAAACAUGUUCAGAAGAUUGGAGUAAUAAUACUACAGCCAGGACACCCCAACCCCAGGUACGAGUCAGGACCCCCCAAGGGAGACCCGCCCCACGCUCCAGGCAGCCACCCACCCGGCCCAUGGUUGGUUCAAGAAGGAGCAAGGCAGGGGCCAGCCAUCCCAGCCCAGGGGGAGAAGACCCAGGGGAAGAGGGGGUCCACAUGAAGUGUUGUGAAACAUGGCCCAACCAGACUCGCCCACAGUUGGAAAUUUGGUGCUUAGGGGCAGGGACCAGACCCCACACCACAGGGACUCGGACACCCCCAGGCUCAGAUGUGAUGUGAUCCCCGGCUCCCUCUGCCAUCAGACUCCUUAACAGCUGACAGGAGUCUGGAACAACAAACUGCAAUUUGCACACCCUCAUUGUUCAUUUUUGUUUAUUAUUACUGUUCUUGCACAUUUAGAAUUUGCACGAAAUCUAAUUUUGCAGAGUUACAUUUUUAUUUAUGUUAUGUGUGAAUUUUCAGUUUCCUGUAUAUAUCCUAUUAUUUUAUUUAUUUAACUUAACCUUGGGAUUCGGACAGCAAAGUAAGAAUAUAUUGUGGAGGAAAACCCGUUUCUUACAAGUCCAUCUUCCAACAGCUAAAAACGCUUCUGUAUUUACAUGCUGAUUCACACCGACGUCUGGAAAUUUUCACAGAGAUCAGGUGCAGCCAGACUCAUCUUCCCUGCAGCAAAGAAGAUAUUUGAAAUCUUGGCAACAAUGGGGCGAGCAUUGAUCUUGCUGAUCUCCACAGUGAUCAUGUUUGUGUCAUGGGGUGUCAAAGCAGAGACCAGCCCAGGCCUACUCAAUCCUACAGUAAGCAACACUGCUGGGACUUCUUCUGCAAGUGCCCCAGUUACAGAUGGAACUAAUGGUACCACUAACACUACGUCAACUAUAUGCUUUACAACAACUGCCUUAACAAUUAGGCCCACAGCUGCUUCAACAACUGCGUCAACAACUGGGCAAACAGCUGCUUCAACAACUGGGCAAACAGCUGCUUCAACAGCUGGGCAAAUAGCUGCUUCAACAGCUGCGUCAACAACUGGGCAAACAGCUGCUUCAACAGCUGGGCAAAUAGCUGCUUCAACAGCUGCGUCAACAACUGGGCAAACAGCUGCGUCAACAACUGGGCAAACAGCUGCUUCAACAGCUGGGCAAACAGCUGCUUCAACAACUGGGCAAACAGCUGCUUCAACAGCUGCGUCAACAACUGGCCAAACAGCUGCUUCAACAGCUGGGCAAACAGCUGGGCAAACAGCUGCUUCAACAGCUCCAAAUUGCGAUAACGAUAUA